UAUAUGUAUAUUUACUAGGAGACCUGGCGAACUUCGUCCCGCCCAAAAUUAAUUUUUUUUAUCUAAACAUUUUCACUAACAAUUCACGUUGACAACUUUCAGUGGCACAUUUAUCUGCUCCAAUUAUGGUUUUGU